rnacentral:rRNA from 1 species
AGUGAACGCUGGCAGUAGGCCUAACACAUGCAAGUCGAACGGCAGCACAGUAAGAGCUUGCUCUUACGGGUGGCGAGUGGCGGACGGGUGAGGAAUACAUCGGAAUCUACUUUUUCGUGGGGGAUAACGUAGGGAAACUUACGCUAAUACCGCAUACGACCUACGGGUGAAAGCAGGGGAUCUUCGGACCUUGCGCGAUUGAAUGAGCCGAUGUCGGAUUAGCUAGUUGGUGGGGUAAAGGCCCACCAAGGCGACGAUCCGUAGCUGGUCUGAGAGGAUGAUCAGCCACACUGGAACUGAGACACGGUCCAGACUCCUACGGGAGGCAGCAGUGGGGAAUAUUGGACAAAGGGCGCAAGCCUGAUCCAGCCAUACCGCGUGGGUGAAGAAGGCCUUCGGGUUGUAAAGCCCUUUUGUUGGGAAAGAAAAGCAGCAGGUUAAUACCCCGCUGUUCUGACGGUACCCAAAGAAUAAGCACCGGCUAACUUCGUG